rnacentral:sRNA from 1 species
UUUUUUAUCCUCCUUUCAUGUAAUAAUUUAUUACAGAAACUGGCUUACACUGGUUUGCUUUUUACGGUAGGAGGUUCCCCUCCUGAGCCUGCUAUAGUGCUUCUGCUUCUCAUUCCUUUGUUUAGCGAUGGGUCUCAUAUAGCACAGCUUGGCCUCCAACUUACUAUGUACCCAACGAUGACCCUAAACUUCUGAUCCUCCUACUUCUACCUCCUGAGUGCUGCUGGGAUUUUAGGAAUGUGCCUCAGUGCCCAGUUUUAUGGCGUUUGGAGAUCAAGCCAAGGCUUUUGUGUAUGGUAGGUGACCAUGCAACUCACUUGGCUACAUCCCUUACUUUCCUUCUGCUGGUAAACAUGUUUGUUCCUCUAUCUCCUGGGCCGUCCAUCCUACACAGUGUGGGGUUCAACUUUGGUUUAAGUCAUUCAUCUGUGUUGAGCCUUAAUCUUCAUGGCUUUAAUGUGCUUUAAGACUCUGUGUAGUUUCUUCCCGAAGCUCUUUGUUUUUGUUUGGUUUCAGUUUCUAUUUUAUACAGCUCUUAACUUUGACAGUGGCUUCUUGCUCUAUUAAUAGUCCCCAGACACAUAGUCAACUGCAACUGAAACCUCCAAGGUCAAGUUCUGGGUCCUUCCCAUCCCAGAAUGCCUCUGGGAGAAAACUUCCUUUCUUAUUCCUCGUGUGCUUAGCUUAUUAUCAUCUUUUGAAUUUAGAGUCCUGCAGCUGUCUUAGAAGACAGACUGGGUCACUCUCCCAGAAGGGGUGUCAGAAAGCUCACAGCGAAGGGAAUACUUAGCUGUUGCUACAACUGGAAAUUCUUCCUCCCAUUCCACAGCACUUCACUGUGUGGACCAACAAAUACUAGGUACAAAGCCAACUGAAGUCAACUGCCAAGUAAGGGACUGCCAUUCUAUUAGCCCUCCUAUACAGUUGGUAAGUCUGCUUGUCCUAUUUCCACUCUGACAGUCUGAAUGACUCUCUAGUAUUAGCAUUCCUUUUUCCCCAACACUAGCACAAAAAAUGUUAGUAAUUACCGAAGUUAGAUAAGUCAUGGUGCGCACAAUGAUCCCCCUUUUAAAAUAAAAUAAUAAAACUGGAAAAUGAUUAAUUCUUUCCUCAUGCCUGAGUCAGGUAUGCUUGAGUCGGUCACUGUCGCAUUGACUGGGGGAGCUUAGAAGCUGUCUUUUGAGUCGAUGGCUCAAACAAGCUUCGGCCUCUCCUGGUGCACAAGACCAUCGCAUUUGAUGCUAUUUAUUACGACUGAACCCUGUUCGUGUGGUAUCAGCCUUGUCUCUGUGGAAGCCCGUCUAUUAUCAAAAGCCUCUGCGUGCUUUAUGUUCAAAGCGCCCAGCAAUGGAUAGAAAGCCAGGACUGUCCUAGAUCAGGGGACCGUCACAUCACCCAGAAGCUGAGGAAAUGAUUACAAGGCACCUGUCUGAGCUCUGCAUGGUCCUGCUGGAGAGAAGCAAAACACCCUUCAGGUCUUGUAAUUUAACUGCUGCCAGUCAUAUCUCAGAACAAGUUUAGGUCAGCUUCUGAAGAUGUUUCAAGUUUAUUAUAUGCAAUUACUAUAGCCUGAUUUUACGUGAGUAAUGACCUCUCAGUUCUCUGGGCCAGUGUGUAGGCAACCCUCAUGGCUAUGAGACAGAAAAAAAAAUAUUUAGCACAUUCAAAUAUUUAAAGAGAAAAAGAUCUAACCUGAUUAAAACGACUGAAAACAAUUGCUAUUAUUCACCCCAUUUUAGUGGUAUUUCUUUGUCGUUUGUGUCUGCUUUUUUAUAUUCGUGGUGCAUGGGUGCCGCUGACAUGUGUAUGUGCACAUGCAUGUGCACAUUCUCACAAGUGGAUUCUCACAAGAUCAAUUUUGUCACCUCCAUUUUAAACUUUUAAAAAACUGAUGUUAAGGUCCCCGUGGUUGACAUGAUCAUCUAACCUUUUCAAUCAUAUUGAAAUUUAUUCCAAAAUGUUUCAGAAGUUAUGUGUGAGAGGAGUGUUUAUAAGAAAGGAUUUGCUGAUGAUGCUCUUCUACAGUGUAGAUGUAGAUCAGUACAAUACAGUGGCCAUAUUUGAGACCUCAGAAGAUAGAAUUUUCUAGUCAGAGGAGACUGUAGUAACUGAGAGGAUUGAACUUAAAAAGUGGCAACUGUUGUGAGCUAACCUAUUGUGUUCCAGGCAGAGAUCACCUGACUUCCCAAGACUUCCCUCAAGCCCAGGAUUGAUUGACCUCAGACAUGAUGACACAAUAGAAGAAUGACAUGAAUUUUGUCUGAGGGCAGUUAGCGGGAGGCUGGAGGCUGAAGGCUCGAGGCUGGAGGCUGGAGGUGCAUGUGGGUAGUGGGACCUCAGAACAGGGUGACAAAGAGCAAGUGGGAGCUGCAUAUGUUGUAUGCCUGUGUCUUCCCAGCCCAGACCUUGUAAUGAAAUGUAAGAGAUGAACAAAAGUUUAAGGAAGUGUAAGGCACAGUUAACAGUUAACGGUCCUAUGGCCUUUUAAACACACACACACA